rnacentral:tRNA from 1 species
GGGGCUGUGGUAUAACCUGGCCAGAACGAGUGGCUCCAGACCACUAAAUCUGCGUUCAAAUCGCAGCAGCCCCA